UGGGGAAUAUUGCACAAUGGGCGCAAGCCUGAUGCAGCCAUGCCGCGUGUAUGAAGAAGGCCUUCGGGUUGUAAAGUACUUUCAGCGGGGAGGAAGGGAGUAAAGUUAAUACCUUUGCUCAUUGACGUUACCCGCAGAAGAAGCACCGGCUAACUCCGUGCCAGCAGCCGCGGUAAUACGGAGGGUGCAAGCGUUAAUCGGAAUUACUGGGCGUAAAGCGCACGCAGGCGGUUUGUUAAGUCAGAUGUGAAAUCCUCGGGCUCAACCUGGGAAAUGCAUCUGAUACUGGCAAGCUUGAGUCUCGUAGAGGGGGGUAGAAUUCCAGGUGUAGCGGUGAAAUGCGUAGAGAUCUGGAGGAAUACCGGUGGCGAAGGCGGCCCCCUGGACGAAGACUGACGCUCAGGUGCGAAAGCGUGGGGAGCAAACAGG
rnacentral:rRNA from 1 species